AUACGGAGGGUGCAAGCGUUGUCCGGAUUUAUUGGGUUUAAAGGGUGCGUAGGUGGCGUGUUAAGUCAGUGGUGAAAGCCUGCAGCUCAACUGUAGAGGUGCCAUUGAUACUGACAUGCUUGAGUAUGGACGAGGUAGGCGGAAUUUGUGGUGUAGCGGUGAAAUGCAUAGAUACCACAAAGAACAACGAUAGCGAAGGCAGCUUACUGGACCAUAACUGACACUGAGGCACGAAAGUGUGGGUAGCGAACAGGAUUAGAAACCCUAGUAGUCC
rnacentral:rRNA from 1 species